rnacentral:lncRNA from 1 species
GAUGCAUCUUCCGACUUUUAACCCACCCCGUCCCGCAGCUUAUAUUUGUUUUUUUAUUGUGUGCGGGCGCUGCCUCUGCCACGAGUCUGCAGUGUGUGGGUCUAGGGAAGGACGGUUAGCUAAAGGAUCGUGUUGGUGUGAGAAGUGUUGUAGAUGUAGAUGACAGUUGAAGAAAAUAUGUAAAAUUUGGCAAAACACCGCUAAGGUGCAGAUGUAGUGCUGAGUGCCGGGUAUAAAAGUUGUGACGCGUAAGAAGCGUCUCACACGUCCCUUCUCGUUAUGUACAUGAUAAAUGUUUGUACUGAUUUCUUACUACUUGGUUAAGCAUACGUAAGAAGACGAGGUGGAACGUUGCUUCACUACUUCUAUAAAAGGUACUCUGUCAGGAUAUAUGUAUGUACUACUUAUGUAACCUUAUUAUAUUUGCCGAAUUUUGUAUGUUACAUUUUUUACUGCAUAUAUUUCAUCUAAAUAGUUAUUCUCUGCUAGUGGGCCGCGCACUGAAUUAGGAAGUGUGGAUUGGCUGAAGGGGGCUAUAAUAAUGAUCCAAGAUAAUUCUUAUAUGUAUCAGAUUCCCGAUUGCGGGUUCAAUGCGGUCUGCUAUUCAUUCUUCUGAUGCCUUUAGCAUCCCAUAGUUUGUAACGGUGGAUUUUCCUCCCACCUGUUAAAAAAUCUCAUAACUGUCAAUCAAACUGUUUUCAAACUACAAAUUGCGGUACUUUAUUUUUUUGGAAAGUUUAACUGGUCUAACUGUGUGAAUUAAUUUCCCAAUUAAUGAGAAUUUUUGAUUUUUUUGACCUAUUAAUGGCCACCUGGAAUAUUUUUUAAGACAAGUUGUAAGCUUUUGGAUGUUGGAAGUCUCGUCAAAAACAAACACAUCCACCGGUCUUUCCUAUCGUUGCAUACAGAUUUCCAUUUUCUUUAAGAAAAUAGGAAAUCGAUAUGAUGUACAUACUAUAUAUUUCUCUAUAAACUAUAAAUAUACCUUAUGGUAUAGUAUACUAGAGGAUCCCAUCAGGGGGAAAAAACUGUGUACCCUCUUAAUUUAUCCUUUUGUCAUUAGCCCAUGUCGAGUCACACGCAAAGAUAUAUGUACAUAUGAGUCAGCCUCAAAUAUCUACAUAUCUAAUGUUCAUGGAAUUUGAAAAAUUAUAUUCUUUUAAUACCGGGCGACUCCUCCGCGCGCUCGCUUCGCUCGGUUUCCAACACCCGUCUCACUAACCGGUCAAACGACCUACAAGUUUCAGUAGUGGAGCGUGCGGUGGCAUGCAUGGCCAUUUUAGUGUGAUCAGUAUCUCAGGUUGAUACUGUGCAGAUGUGUUCUUAUCACAAAGUUUAUCUGGCCCCCACUUCUCUAAGUAUGGUGUUUUUACAUCUGGGAAUACUCGUUGAAUGAGAGAAUUUUUUGAAUCAACAAUUAUGCUGAAGUCUGUUGACAUUUUAGUGCAUCCAGUAUUUUUAUUGAUAUGAGAAGUUCAGUUAGGCGAUAGCCUAAAUCCAAUAAUACUUUUGAACAUUUUUCAGUAAACUAUCGGAAAUUGGAAAUUUUGCAAGAACGGUGUAUUUCGGCACUGACCUCAAGCUUAUUGUUUCUUCUUUAAAUCGUAAUUUUUUGAGUCGAUGUGCUGUUUUACGAUUUCACGAUUUACACGAUUUAUGUCCUCACCACACACGAAGAAUAUUCAAACAUCGUAUGUUCUUAAUUUCAUUAAAUGGUGAAUUGAACUUUCACCCAUUUGCCGAAUUUUGUUAAAUAUUGGAUUGCUCCGUACAUGCGAGAAAGAGUCGCAUGCUUGUCUGUCCUCCCGUCCGUCUGUCAGUCUCGAUGAGACCAUACUUCUCAGAGACCAUAAGGACUAGAGCAAUUAAGUUUUGUUUAGUAUACACUAAAAAUGGAAAGACAAAAGAAUUCAUUUCUGUUUAGAUAAAUAGAUCAAAAUAUAAGGUGAUGAAUUUUUAAUUUCAACGCAGAAUACUUGUCAGACGGUGUGAUAAGCUGAAAACGUUCAGGUAGAACUUACAUUUGCAUUUAUUAGAUUUCCGACCUUACAAAGUACUUAUAUACAUUCUUGAUUAGCAUCAAUAGCCGAGUCGAAAUAGCCAUGCCUGUCUGUUCGUCUUGUUUGACGUUUAGAUGCCUUAAAAACAAAACAAUACUAAACUUAGUUGGUAUUUAUCAGAAAAUGGAGGGUUAGGAGUGUUGGUCAUGCAAUUUUAGGUAAACGGUUUAUCUAUAAAUUUGUUUGGCGAUAUCUUGUACGAAUCCUAUAUCCUAUAGUGAAAGGGCUCUCGCUGCACGUGUGAUGACAACGACAAUCGAGUGUGCUGGUUAACCAUUUAAAGGCAAUGUGAAAAAAAACAUAAUAAUUGUUUCCUAAUUUAAUUUUUAAUAGUUCGCUACAUGAUAGUAGUCUUUGUUUAAAAAAAAAAACAUUUUGAACAAAUUUGAAAAAAAAAUGUUGUCUGCAACCAACCUUUCGCGUCGACAAGCAAACGAGCACUGACCAUACGCAGAACCAUGAAGAAGCUAUAAGGAGGCCUAGUCGGCAACACUAAGCAGAAGGGGCGAGUGAAAAGUACGAGUGAGAGGGCUCUCGCUGCAAGUGUGAGGGCAACGACAAUGGAGUGUGCUGAUCAUGAAGAAAACAUUCGUCCGCAACCAACCUUCCGCGUCGACAAGCAAACGAGCACUGAAAAUAGGCAGAACCAGCGAGUAACUCUGCCACCGACAAGGCCUCCUUAUAGUUUCUUCAUGGGCAGAACCAGCGAGUAACUCUGCCACCGACGAGGCCUCCUUAUAGUUUCUUCAUGCUCUAGGGAAGGGUGGCGAGCUAAAGGAGCGUGUUGGCGUGAGUAGUGUUGUUGAUGUAGAUGACAAAUAUGUCAAAUAACCGCUAAGGUGCAGAUGCAGUACUGAGUGCCGGGUAUAAAUUUGUGACGCGUGAGAAGCGUCUCACACGUCCCUUCUCGUUUAAAGUCAAAAUGUAGUCAAAAAAUAUCUAACAAAAAUUAUCGCUUUUGCUUAAUUUAUGGCAUGGUGACUAGGUGAAAGAGAGAAUAGAAUGUUGCCUGUAGCUGCGAUGACGAAAGCUUCCAAGUUCAAUUUCAUGUUGUUCAUUUCAGUUAUGCUCUUAACAUCUUGUCAGUCAAGCGGCGUAUAAAUAAAAAUUAAACGUUGAAAAAACUUGAAAAUAUACAUUAAAAUUAUAAACAGAGGUAAUCUUACUUACGUCUUACUUGAUUCGCAGGGCUCUAAUUUGUUGUUUAUUCGAAUUUUUUUUACAAAUUGUACAGCUCGCCUGGAAUUGUCAUAUGUAAAUACCGUAUUACAUAUGUGUAUAUAUUGUUUAUGGUGGUAUAUAUGUAUUGAUGGUGGUGAUAAUGGUGGUAUCUCAUUACACUUUGCUCUGUAAAGAUAGAUCAUGAGACCAAACGCAAAAUUAGUUUUGGUACUGUCCGGGCUAAUAGACUCUUUGCAGCAAAAUUAUAUUUUUAAAUACACAGUUAAUAAAGUAUACCGAUCGAAAACACUUCUCAACAUAAUCAAAAAUGUUUAUUUAAACGAACAAGCUAACGUGCAAAAGUGGAUACAUUGACCUUUUUCAACACAAAAAAAAAAUCUUUAAAUAUAUAGGAGAUAUAUGUUUGUUUUAAUUGUUGUUUUGUUUUAUUUUCAAAUAACUCGUCACUGUAUAAGGUGUCGUUUGUCAUAUUUUUAAAAACAAUUGAUAAUUUAGUUGAGCUAACAUUUUUUUACCAACCUAUAUCUAUUAAAUUUAUCUUUAGAUUCGCAUAAAUUAGAAACACACAGCAAAUAUUUUUGUUCGAAUUUUCUUUUAUUUUUUAUGCCAACAUUUUGUAAAAACUAAGGGACAAAAAUUAAAAAAUUUCCAUUUGAAAUCUUAAUGUAUCUCAGACGGAUUUGCAUCUAUAUAUAUCGGUUUUUAAGAAGAGUACAGUUCACUAACACUAAUUGAACGAUUCUUAAUAUAAAUUAAAGAUAAAAUUGGUAGAACACAGAUUUCCUGGAAAGCCAAAAUAACGACUUUCACUCCCUGUCAUAGAGAGCUUUUCCCGUAAUUCUAUCCCUGCUUUUCAAAUGAAAAAACCGUAUCACCAAUACAUGCUAGUUUGGAAUUGCAGCUGAUCUGUGGUCACUAUUUGCUUAUUUUAUAUUGUUUGUACCGAAAACCUGGAAUAUAUAGCUUUAAAAAUGCAUAGUCAAAGCCAUUCAGAAAUUGUCCUGAGCUGUUAACAUAUGUAUGAAGGCACAUUUUGAAAAUUGUGGUACAGGCGUUGGAUAUUAAUCCAACAUAUUUUUGUCUCAUGAAACGUCCGAUUAUAAAAUAUUAAGUUAUGUAUUAAGCAUAGGGUAAAAUGUGCCAAAAUAUAUUGAGUAUUAAAGUAAAUUUAUAAAAGAAUAAAAGGAAGACUCUACCCUUAAUAUGUGUAAACAAGUGGAAUUUCAUUGUAGUUAACAUCAAAAGUUAUUUAAUAUUCUUUAAGCUAAAGC